rnacentral:rRNA from 1 species
AUUGAACGCUGGCGGCAGGCCUAACACAUGCAAGUCGAGCGGAUGAGGGAAGCUUGCUUCCCGAUUUAGCGGCGGACGGGUGAGUAAUGCCUAGGAAUCUGCCUAUUAGUGGGGGAUAACGUUCCGAAAGGAAAGCUAAUACCGCAUACGUCCUACAGGAGAAAGUGGGGGAUCUUCGGACCUCACGCUAAUAGAUGAGCCUAGGUCGGAUUGGCUAUUUGGUGGGGUAACGGCUCACCAAGGCGACGAUCCGUAGCGGGUCUGAGAGGAUGAGCAGCCACCCGUGAACUGAGACACGGUGCAGACUCCUACGGGAGGCAGCAGUGGGGAAUAUUGGACAAUGGGCGAAAGCCUGAUCCAGCCAUGCCGCGUGUGUGAAGAAGGUCUUCGGAUUGUAAAGCACUUUAAGUUGGGAGGAAGGGUUGUAAGCUAAUAUCUUGCAGCUUUGACGUUACCAACAGAAUAAGCACCGGCUAACUCUGUGCCAGCCGCCGCGGUAACAC